rnacentral:rRNA from 1 species
UACGUAGGGGCUAGCGUUAUCCGGAAUUACUGGGCGUAAAGGGUGCGUAGGUGGUUUCUUAAGUCAGAGGUGAAAGGCUACGGCUCAACCGUAGUAAGCCUUUGAAACUGGGAAACUUGAGUGCAGGAGAGGAGAGUGGAAUUCCUAGUGUAGCGGUGAAAUGCGUAGAUAUUAGGGGGAACACCAGUUGCGAAGGCGGCUCUCUGGACUGUAACUGACACUGAGGCACGAAAGCGUGGGGAGCAAACAGGAUUAGAUACCCCUGUAGUCCCUGAGCGGGCU